UAGACGACAAGGCAAGCCGCAGACUGGAGCGACUAGCAAGAUGUGGAUUGAAUCUCAUGGACCGGUACGCACUAAGCUUGAAAGCGAAUGAAAAUUGCUAAUGCUGAUUACGUCCUGAGCCGUGCACUGCCUAUUUGGUUGAAUCUCAGACAUGCUGAGAUUGCAAGGCUGGAAAAUGAGACAUGCGUAAUGAGAUCGGUCGGCGUGGUUAGAUCAGAGGUGUGGGUUCGGGUAUAUUUAAACCCUCCAGACAAUCGGUGUGGAUACAGUCUUCAUGCUAUGCUGUGCCACACACACACACACACACACACACACACACACACAGCAGCAAAAUGACCUUCAGGACUUUUCCACGUCUCUUAUUUUUAGAGCAGGACUCAAAGGCACAGAUUGUCACAUUCUUUUGUUGCCUGGACACACGAGCUGCCUUUCCCCAGACUGCGACGACGUGCGAUACGAUAAAUUCUAGGAAGUGAAUGACUUCAUUUUGUUGGGUUUGUACUUCUGUACGUACCGACUGGAUUAUAAACCCUGAUGUGAAGGUCUGAGGUCAGUGACAGGAGACGACCGUGCGCUUACGAGAGAUUUUGUGUUGAAAAGGACAGGUUCCGAGUGCGUCACUGUACGCAUCACAGGACUGGGAUACGCUGCUUCAUCUUGAACCCAGGUCUGACAUCAUAGGAACAGAACAGACAGAAACGUCCAAGGAGAGGCGUGACUCACAGUUCUCCAUGUUGUCUGAGAUUCAAGAAUUUCCCUUCAUUUUAAUCAGAUCCCAGGCAGCAACUGAACAGUCAGUUUUCAAAGUCGACGUGUUGGAAGCAGGAAAAAUGAGCAAGUGUAAGGAUCUGAGUGACUUUGACAAAAGCCAGAUUGUGAUGGCUGGACGACUGGGUCAGAGCAUCUCCAAAACAGCAGGUCUUGUGGGGUGUUCCCGGUAUACAGUGGUUAGAACCUAUAAAAAGUAGUUCAAGAAAGAACAACCGGUGAACCAGCAACAGAGUGAUGGGCUCCCAAGGCUCACUGGUGCACAUGGGGAGCGAAGGCUAGCUAAUCUGGUCCGAUCCCACAGAAGAGCUACUGUAGCGCAAAUUGCUGAAAGAUUGAAUGCUGGCUCUGAUAGAAAGGUGUCAGGACACAAUGCAUCCUAGCUUGCUGCGUAUGAGGCUGUGUAGCUGCAGACUGAUCAGAGUGCCCAUGCUGACCUCAGUAAACUGCCCAAUGCACCUACAAUGGGCACGUGAGCAUCAGAACUGCAUAAUGGAAUUAAAGCGAAGGUGAAGAAGACCAUGGAGCCAAAGAGAAGAUGGCCUGGUCUGAUGGAUCAUGUUUUCUUUUACAUCAUGUGGACGGCUGUGUGUGUGUGUGUGUGUGUGUGUGUGUGUGUGUGUGUGUCGCUUACCUGGGGAAGAGAUGGCACCAGGAUGCACUAGGGGAAGAAGGCAAGCAGGUGGAGGAAGUGUGAUGCUCUGGGCAAUGUUCUGCUGGGAAUCCUCGGGUCCUGGCAUUCAUGUGGUUGUUACUUUGACACGUACCACCUAUAUAAACAUUGUUGCAGACCAAGUACACCUCUUCAUGGCAGCAGUAUUCCUUAAUGGCUGUGGCCUCUUUCAGCAGGGUAUUGCUCCCUGCCACACUGCAAAAACGGUUCAGGAACAGUUUGAGGAACAUGACAAAGAGUUCAAGGUGUUGACUCGGCCUCCAAAUUCCUCAGAUCUCAAUCCGAUCAGGCGUCUGUGGGAUGAGCUGGACAAACAAGUCCGAUCCAAGAAAUUCAUUCUGAUUCAUGGAGGAGUUCAGAAAUGUCGUCCUUCUUACCAUCACAGUGUGCACCUCAUUAAUUUUCCAUGGAUGGCUGAUAGACUUUUUGCCAUUCAGGAAGUGUCAUGCAGUGCCUCGGAAGUGGUGUUCCCUGUGUUUCCUUAAUUACUGCUGAUACAGAAUGAUAUUAGGAAUUUCACUCACAUAUAGGCACAGCACCGGGAUAAGCCCUGCUGCACAAACUAUAUUAACUAUGAACAAAUAAUCAAGUUGCUUUCACCGAACAAAAUAACACAUCUAGAUAGACCUUUACACACAAACACACACACACCCCCCACACACACACACAAAUAUAUAUAUAUUUUAUUUAUUUUAUUUUUUAAAGGUAGGAAGGUGAAGAUUCACAACUGAAAAACUGAAGCUCAACACAUAAUUUUUUUUUUUUUUUUUUUUACAAAAAUUUAACAUAAGAUUAUGAAAACUUUAAUUUACGUGUAGAAUGCACACAUAAUUUUAUCUUUAUAUGAAUGUAAAUGUUAUAGCUUCAACAUUUGACAUUUAAGAGGAAAGACUUAAAUUUCAGGUUAGUUCCAUAAAUGAAAGCCUAAGAGUGUAUAAAAAUAUUACGUAAUGAUUCAGCGGGUAAAGCCGUACACACAAAAAUAGAGAAAAAUUCAUUCUUUUAAGUUCAGUCAACAUACAUGGAUAAGACUAUUUGGUUUGUUUAUAUUCCAGUUUGUUUGUUGUCGUUGUUUGCCUGUAUAUGUAUUGAAAAAGAAAUGUCAGCGAGUAGUCUGAAAUUGAUGAAAAAAUGUUCAGAACAAAACACAAAGGAUAAUAAAAUAAUUUUAAGUUUAAAGGAAGAAACCUUUAAACCUUUACCUGGAAUUUGCCCCACAAAUGUCCUAUGUGACAAUGUGAA
ensembl:lncRNA